AGGGCAGCUCUCGGGUGACACACCCUGGAAUCAGGCUCCCUCCUGUCUGGUUCUGGGUGCGUCACCCGAGAACCGCAGCUA
rnacentral:pre_miRNA from 1 species